rnacentral:rRNA from 1 species
UACGUAGGGACCAAGCGUUGUUCGGAUUUACUGGGCGUAAAGGGCGCGUAGGCGGCAAUUCAAGUCAGUUGUGAAAUCUCUGAGCUUAACUCAGAACGGCCAAGUGAUACUGCAGUGCUAGAGUGCAGAAGGGGCAAUCGGAAUUCUUGGUGUAGCGGUAAAAUGCGUAGAUAUCAAGAGGAACACCUGAGGUGAAGACGGGUUGCUGGGCUGACACUGACGCUGAGUGCGCGAAAGCCAGGGGAGCAAACGGG